UUGUACUACGAAGUCCGUAAGUCAAACAGGCCCAAGGUGUGAUUCAUGAUUGGGGUG
rnacentral:rRNA from 1 species